AGCGAACGCUGGCGGCAGGCUUAACACAUGCAAGUCGAGCGGGCGUAGCAAUACGUCAGCGGCAGACGGGUGAGUAACGCGUGGGAACGUACCUUUUGGUUCGGAACAACCCAGGGAAACUUGGGCUAAUACCGGAUAAGCCCUUACGGGGAAAGAUUUAUCGCCAAAAGAUCGGCCCGCGUCUGAUUAGCUUGUUGGUGAGGUAACGGCUCACCAAGGCGACGAUCAGUAGCUGGUCUGAGAGGAUGAUCAGCCACAUUGGGACUGAGACACAGCCCAAACUCCUACGGGAGGCAGCAGUGGGGAAUAUUGGACAAUGGGCGCAAGCCUGAUCCAGCCAUGCCGCGUGAGUGAUGAAGGCCCUAGGGUUGUAAAGCUCUUUUGUGCGGGAAGAUAAUGACUGUACCGCAAGAAUAAGCCCCGGCUAACUUCGUGCCAGCCGCCGCCGUAAG
rnacentral:rRNA from 1 species